rnacentral:rRNA from 1 species
UACGUAGGGUGCAAGCGUUAUCCGGAAUUAUUGGGCGUAAAGAGCUCGUAGGCGGUUUGUCGCGUCUGCUGUGAAAAUCCGAGGCUCAACCUCGGACUUGCAGUGGGUACGGGCAGACUAGAGUGUGGUAGGGGAGACUGGAAUUCCUGGUGUAGCGGUGGAAUGCGCAGAUAUCAGGAGGAACACCGAUGGCGAAGGCAGGUCUCUGGGCCAUUACUGACACUGAGAAGCGAAAGCAUGGGGAGCGAACAGG